GACGAACGCUGGCGGCGUGCCUAAUACAUGCAAGUCGAACGCACUCUCGUUAGAUUGAAGAAGCUUGCUUCUGAUUGAUAACAUUUGAGUGAGUGGCGGACGGGUGAGUAACACGUGGGUAACCUGCCCUAAAGUGGGGGAUAACAUUUGGAAACAGAUGCUAAUACCGCAUAAAACCUAGCACCGCAUGGUGCAAGGUUGAAAGAUGGUUUCGGCUAUCACUUUAGGAUGGACCCGCGGUGCAUUAGUUAGUUGGUGAGGUAAAGGCUCACCAAGACCGUGAUGCUUAGCCGACCUGAGAGGGUAAUCGGCCACACUGGGACUGAGACACGGCCCAGACUCCUACGGGAGGCAGCAGUAGGGAAUCUUCCACAAUGGACGAAAGUCUGAUGGAGCAACGCCGCGUGAGUGAAGAAGGUUUUCGGAUCGUAAAACUCUGUUGUUGGAGAAGAACGUAUUUGAUAGUAACUGAUCAGGUAGUGACGGUAUCCAACCAGAAAGCCACGGCUAAC
rnacentral:rRNA from 1 species